rnacentral:rRNA from 1 species
AUGGCUGGCGCCGACGUCGACGUCGGGACGGAGCUCAGGCUCGGGCUGCCCGGGGGCGGCGCCGAGGCGGCCAAGGCCGGGAAGAGGGGCUAUGAGGACACCAUUGACUUGAAGCUCACGCUGCCCACCGGCGGCGGCAUGCAGGAAGACUCCGCCGGCAAGCCGGAGCCGGCCGCCGACAAGGCCAAGAGGCCCGCGGAGGCCGCGGCCGCCGACCCCGAGAAGCCACCUGCUCCCAAGGCACAGGCUGUGGGUUGGCCACCAGUCCGGUCGUACCGCAGGAACGCCAUGACCGUCCAGUCGGUCAAGAUCAAGAAGGAGGAGGAGACCGAGAAGCAGCAGCCUGCUGCUGGCGCCGCUGCUGGCGCCAACGGCUCCAACUUUGUCAAGGUGAGCAUGGACGGCGCGCCCUACCUGCGCAAGGUGGAUCUCAAGAUGUACAACACCUACAAGGACCUCUCCAUUGCUCUGCAGAAGAUGUUCAGCACCUUCACCGCAACUGGGAAUGAGGGGAAGAUGGUUGAGGCAGUGAACGGUUCAGAUGUUGUUACUACUUACGAAGACAAGGAUGGAGACUGGAUGCUUGUUGGAGACGUCCCAUGGGAGAUGUUUGUUGCUUCAUGCAAACGCUUGAGGAUCAUGAAGGGGUCCGAAGCCAUCGGUCUUGCACCAAGGGCCAAGGACAAGUACAAGAACAAGAGCUAA